AAAUGUGAGGUCACCCUUUGCGGGAACAGGAGGCGAGCCGGAGGAAGUUCCUUUUCCUCUCUCCAGCCUCGCCGUCUCAGCAGAGCGAAACAGGGGAGCCCCUGGCAAGCAAAUGUUGGAAGGUUCCCAGCCCAGCGUCACAGCAGAGCAGAGAGGGUAGGGUUUGGAGCUGAGAUAUGAUUGCUUCACAGCCCACAAAGGCGGUGUCUGCCAGGUUUCUCCAUUGUGGAAGUGUCUUUUCCCCUUGGAAUGAAUGCAUUCUCUGGGGGUCGGGGGUGGCGAUGCUUUGAGAUUGUGUGAAUGUCACAUGCUGCCACAGUCUUUCUGCCAAUGGCCUUAGUAUCUACUAAUGAAUCUCACCUGAAUCAGUUAUUAUGAAGGUGGUUGUAAAAUUAUUUUCUAUUUCUCUCAUUCCUUGUACAUCCGUUAGUUGGCAUUCUUUGGUAAAGAAGAGCUUUCCCUUCUCCCUGGCCCCCAUCCCUGGGAAAUGUGGUUUUUAAGUGGAUGGGCCACAUACCCAGCCAAAGUUGGAGUUCUAUCUAUAAGGACUUGGGGGAGAGCAAGUACUGGUGUCCAUGGCUAGCACUCUGUCACAGGGCUAAGCCCAGAGAGUCUUACUACUGCAGUUGAAUCCACGAUUGACUUGAAUUGUAAAAACUUAAAGUAAAAAGAAGGAAUUAGUGCUUCACACAUGGAAGGAUGGGAAAAGAUAACCUGAAUUCACAGGUGGUGUCUGGUGUUUCAGGACUGUCAUUGUCCUGGGGGAUUAACUGGGCCAGUGGUUCUCAACCUUGGCUGCUGACAUAGUUUGGAUGUUUGUCUCCUCCAAAUCUCAUGUGGAAAAGUGAUCCCCAAGGUUUGAGGUGGGGCCUAGUGGGAGGUGUUUGGGUCAUGGGGUCAGAUCCCUUGUGAAUGGGUGACCUGCCCUUGGUAAUGAGUUAGUUCUUGUUCUAUUAGUUCAUCAACAGUUGGUUGUUAAAAAGGAUAUGGGGGCUGGGCGUGGUGGCUCAUGCCUGUAAUCCCAGCACUUUGGGAGGCCGAAGCAGGCAGAUUACCUGAGGUCAGGAGUUUGAGACCAUCCUGGCCAACAUGAUGAAACCCCGUCUCUACUAAAAAUACAAAAAUUAGCCAGGCGUCAUGGCCUGUGCCUGUAAUCCCAGCUACUUGGGAGGCUGAGGCAGGAGAAUUGUUUGAACUCAGGAGGUGGAGGUUGCAGUGAGCCGAGACUGCGCCACUGCACUCUAGCUUGGGUGACAGAGUGAGACUCCAUCUUAAAAAAAAAAAAAAAAAAAAAAGCCAGGCUCGUUGACUGACACCUGUAAUCCCAGCACUUUGGGAGGCUGAGGCAGGUGGAUUGUCUGAGGUCGGGAGUUAGAGACCAGCCUGAUCAACAUGGAGAAACCCCAUCUCUAUUAAAAAUACAAAAUUAGCCAGGUAUGGUGGCUCGUGCCUUUAAUCCCAGCUACUCGGGAGGCUGAGGCAGGAGAAUCGCUUGAACCCAGGAGGCAGAGGUUGUGGUGAGCCGAGAUCGCACCAUUCCACUCCAGCCUGGGCAACAAGAGGGAAACUCUAUCUCAAAAAAAAAAAAAAAAAAAAAAAGAGAAUAUGGGGGCUUGGCGUGGUGGCUCAUGCCUGCAAUUUCAGCCCUUUAAGAGGCUGAGGCGGGAGGAUCGCUUGAGCCCAGGAGUUUGAGACCAGCCUGGGCAAUAUAAUGAGACCUAAUCUCUAAAAAAAUUAAACAAAAAAGGAUCUGGGACCCCCUGCUCUCUCUCUUGCUCCCUUUCUCAUUGUGUGACAUGUCUGUUCCCCUUUUGCCUUCUUCUAUGAGUGAAAGCUUCCUGUAGCCUCACUAGAAGCCGAACAGAUGCUGGUGCCACGUUUGUACAGCCUGCAGAACUAUUCCAAAGCUCUUGAGCUGCAUGAAGUCACUGGAACACAGUAGAGCUUCUGAACCUGUAGCUGGAGAUGAGUAUCACCAGCCAACAUCCUUGGCAGAGCUGUGAGCCAACAGCCAGCCCCAGCCUGCCAGCCGUGUGAGCAAGCAGUCUUGGAAGGUGAUUCUACAGCCCCAGCUGAAACACUCCAACUGAUGCCAUGUGAGCCGAGAAGAGCAGCCAAACUGAGCCCUUCUCAAAUCCCUGAUCCUCCAAAUGUAGGCAAAAUAAAUUGCUGGUUUUAAGCCACUAAGUUUUGAUAUAGAUUGUUAUGUAAUAAUAGAUAUCAGAGCUCUAGCUAAGGCAGGUGCUGAAGGGAAGAUGUUUUUAUCAUUCAUAGAUAUCACAAAAUAUGUAUAUUUAAUGCAUUUCAAAAUUUUAGUUCUAACCAAUACAAUUCUUUGGAGUUUACUUUUCCCGUUAUAGAAAUGGUACAUUAUAAAUCACCUACCUGCGAGUCUCAAUCUACUCUUGUUAUUUUUCUAUGUUCCGUUCUAGUAUUUGCUUUAAGUGCAUAUUUAAUUUGUAAUUAAAUAUGUAAUUAUGAAAU
rnacentral:lncRNA from 1 species